AGAGAUGUGUGAUGACGCAUAUCAAUAAGCGGAGGAAAAGAAACUAACAAGGAUUCCCCUAGUAACGGCGAGUGAAGCGGGAAGAGCUCAAAUUUGAAAUCUUAAAGGGUUUCCCUUUACGAAUUGUAGUUUAAAGAAGUGUUUUCUGUUGGAGUUUCGGUAAAAGUUCUUUGGAAUAGGACAUCAUAGAGGGUGAGAAUCCCGUAUUUGAUCGUUACUUUCCAGCUGUGUGAUACACUUUCAAAGAGUCGGAUUGUUUGGGAAUGCAGUCCCAAAAUGGGUGGUAAAUUUCAUCUAAAGCUAAAUAUUGGCGAGAGACCGAUAGCGAACAAGUACCGUGAGGGAAAGAUGAAAAGAACUUUGAAAAGAGAGUUAAACAGUACGUGAAAUUGUCAAAAGGGAAGCGUUUGACACCAGUGUUGUUUAGUUGAAAAUCAAUUCAAUAAUUUUUGAUUUUAAGUAGUAUUGACUUCAUCAGCUUGCUGCUUUCUUUUCAGGAAUUAUUGAAUGCACUUUUCAGUUAACAAGUCAACAUCAAUUUCUUUUGUUGUAAAAGGGUAAGAGGAAGGUGGCUUACGCUUCGGCGUAAGUGUUUAUAGCCUUUUAACUCUGCAAUCGGAGAGAUUGAGGUACAUGCAGCGUAGACUCCUUCGGGGUUAGAUACACUUGUGCUAAGUUAUAGCUUGUCAUAGACAACUUGUUGACUAUGUUCAGUCAUUGUAGAUUUACUCGCUAGAUGCUAUUUUACCUACGCUUAGGAUGUUGACGCAUGAGAUAUACGC
rnacentral:rRNA from 1 species